rnacentral:rRNA from 1 species
UACAGAGGGUGCAAGCGUUGUUCGGAAUUAUUGGGCGUAAAGGGAGUGUAGGCGGCUUGUUAAGUCUUCUGUGAAAUCUACGGGCUCAGCCUGUAAAGUGCAGAGGAAACUGGCGAGCUUGAGUGUCGGAGAGGAUAGGGGAAUACCCGGUGUAGAGGUGAAAUUCGUAGAGAUCGGGUGGAACACCAGUGGCGAAGGCGCCUAUCUGGCUGACAACUGACGCUGAGACUCGAAAGCAUGGGGAGCAAACAGG